rnacentral:lncRNA from 1 species
CCAGAACCCUGGUCCGUCAUCUCAAUUGCCGGCCACUUUUUAUACAACCGAAGGUCCACCGGCGGGCUCUCUCAUCAGAAGGUCCUCAUCUUUUUUGAAACAUCUGUUCCAAAGCCUUCGUCCCCUACACCAGUGACAUCGCUGACACUUCUAAACACCUUGCUAAAGCUGCCUUCGUGGAAUCUUUUGGACGUCCGAUUGAAGCUGAUGACGU